UCACUGCAAGUGAUGACUGCAUAGUUCAGCAGAAUCUCCAUGUAGAACCAUGUGCAAUGUCUUUCGCUCCUAGCUGAUGCAUCCG
ensembl:snoRNA Small nucleolar RNA snR60/Z15/Z230/Z193/J17